GACGUAGGAUGCAAGCGUUGUCCGGAUUUAUUGGGCGUAAAGAGUUCGUAGGUGGUUUGUUAAGUCUGAUGUUAAAGACUGGGGCUCAACCUCGGGACUGCAUUGGAUACUGGCAGACUUGAGUGCGGUAGAGGCAAGUGGAAUUCCAGGUGUAGCGGUGAAAUGCGUAGAUAUCUGGAAGAACACCGGUGGCGCAAGCGACUUGCUGGGCCGUAACUGACACUGAGGAACGAAAGCUAGGGGAGCGAAUGGG
rnacentral:rRNA from 2 species